rnacentral:rRNA from 1 species
CCUUACCUGGCCUUGACAUCCUGCGAACUUUCUAGAGAUAGAUUGGUGCCUUCGGGAACGCAGUGACAGGUGCUGCAUGGCCGUCGUCAGCUCGUGUCGUGAGAUGUUGGGUUAAGUCCCGUAACGAGCGCAACCCCUAUCCCUAGUUGCUAGCAGUUCGGCUGAGAACUCUAGGGAGACUGCCGGUGACAAACCGGAGGAAGGUGGGGAUGACGUCAGGUCAUCAUGCCCCUUACGGCCAGGGCUACACACGUGCUACAAUGGCGCGCACAGAGGGCUGCAAACUCGCGAGAGUAAGCCAAUCUCUUAAAACGCGUCGUAGUCCGGAUCGCAGUCUGCAACUCGACUGCGUGAAGUCGGAAUCGCUAGUAAUCGCGGAUCAGCAUGCCGCGGUGAAUACGUUCCC